UACGAAGGGGGCUAGCGUUGCUCGGAAUCACUGGGCGUAAAGCGUGCGCAGGCGGUUAUGUAAGACAGUUGUGAAAUCCCCGGGCUCAACCUGGGAACUGCAUCUGUGACUGCAUAGCUAGAGUACGGUAGAGGGGAUGGAAUUCCGCGUGUAGCAGUGAAAUGCGUAGAUAUGCGGAGGAACACCGAUGGCGAAGGCAAUCCCCUGGACCUGUACUGACGCUCAUGCACGAAAGCGUGGGGAGCAAACAGG
rnacentral:rRNA from 1 species